CCUACGGGAGGCAGCAGUGAGGAAUAUUGGUCAAUGGGCGCGAGCCUGAACCAGCCAAGUCGCGUGAGGGAUGACGGCCCUACGGGUUGUAAACCUCUUUUGCCGGGGAGCAACGGUCGCCACGCGUGGCGCCACUGAGAGUAGCCGGAGAAAACGCAUCGGCUAACUCCGUGCCAGCCGCCGCGGUAAUACGGAGGCUGCCGGCGUUAGCCGGAUUUAUUGGGUUUAAAGGGUGCGUAGGCAGCUCGUUAGGUCAGUGGUCAAAUAUAGGGGCUCAACCCCUUCCCGCUAGUGAAACUGGCGAUCUGGAGUGGGAGAGAGGUAUGCGGAAUGCGUGGUGUAGCGGUGAAAUGCAUAGAUAUCACGCAGAACACCGAUGGCGAAGGCAGCAUACCGGCGCCCUACUGACGCUGAGGCACGAAAGUGUGGGUAUCGAACAGGAUUAGAUACCCCAGUAGUC
rnacentral:rRNA from 1 species